rnacentral:rRNA from 1 species
AUUCCAGCUCCAAUAGCGUAUAUUAGAGUUGUUGCAGUUAAAAAGCUCGUAGUUGGAUCUCAGAGUGAGCUCGUCCGGUCGGCCUAAAUGGUCUGAACUGGUUGACUCUCUCUUGCUUGUGGAUCCCGCCCGGAGUUAACUCUUCGGAUGUGGACUUCACAUCGUUUACCUUGAAAAAAUUAGAGUGUUCAAAGCAGGCGUAUGCUUGAAUAUAUUAGCAUGGAAUAAUGGAAUAGGACCCUGGUUCUAUUUUGUUGGUUUUGAGGACCAGAGUAAUGAUUAAUAGGGAUAGUUGGGGGCAUUCAUAUUUCAUUGUCAGAGGUGAAAUUCUUGGAUUUAUGAAAGAUGAACUUCUGCGAAAGCAUUUGCCAAGAAUGUUUUCAUUG